GACGAACCGUGCGAACGUUGUUCGGAAUCACUGGGCUUAAAGGGCGCGUAGGCGGGCCAUCAAGUCCGGGGUGAAAUCUUUCGGCUCAACCGGAAAAGUGCCUUGGAUACUGGUGGUCUUGAGGGAGGUAGGGGUUUGUGGAACUUCUGGUGGAGCGGUGAAAUGCGUUGAUAUCAGAAGGAACGCCGGUGGCGAAAGCGACGAACUGGACCUCUUCUGACGCUGAGGCGCGAAAGCUAGGGGAGCAAACGGG
rnacentral:rRNA from 1 species